GAAGCAGAGCCAGCGCGUCAGUCCACCGGCUCUGCUGUAUUUAAGCUAGCCGGCCCUCGGUUCGAGAGUCUUCUGCAGAGCAUCAUCCAUUCAUCAUCCCAUCCCCCAAGUCAUAAACCCAAGUCGGACUCGCCUUCCUCCUCCCCCAACUACUCCUCCUCGCCUCCGCGCAUCGCACCGCACCGGGGGUCACCUGAGGUAGAUCACAUACACAAUGGUGAAGGCUGUGGCUGUGCUUACCGGCAGUGAGGGUGUCAAGGGCACCAUCUUCUUCACCCAGGAGGGAGAUGGCCCGACCACCGUGACGGGAAGUGUCACUGGACUCAAGGAAGGGCUCCACGGCUUCCAUGUGCACGCUCUUGGUGACACCACCAAUGGCUGCAUGUCAACUGGACCACACUUCAACCCCGCUGGUCAUGUGCAUGGGGCACCCGAAGAUGAAAUCCGCCAUGCUGGUGAUCUUGGAAAUGUGACAGCUGGAGCGGAUGGUGUUGCUAACAUCAAUGUUACUGACUGCCAUAUCCCCCUUACUGGACCAAAUUCAAUUGUUGGCCGUGCUGUUGUCGUCCAUGGUGACGCUGAUGAUCUUGGCAAGGGUGGACAUGAGCUGAGCAAGAGCACUGGAAACGCUGGUGCCCGUGUUGCUUGCGGAAUCAUCGGGCUCCAGGGCUAGAUGUCAUCUUCGCCGACCAACGUCGUACAGAUCUGGGAACCUUUUCAGAAUGCAGAUUUGCAAUCUCUAUUCUAAAUAAGCACAUGAUCUUUGAUCACUUGUUAGUGUGCACCAUUCAUGUCAAUUCCAAUGUGCUACUCUGAACUUUAUCACUGUCAUUUGGCUAUGAUUUGCGUGACUGGAACAGUUGUCAAGUGCUUGUGGAUCUGCUGUUGUUCUUUAAGCCGCUACCAGCUCUGGACAUAUUUACAGAAAACGAGAGAGAUUUCAGAUUUCAUCUUAUAUCUUGUAGUGCUCUUGUAGUGCUACAUUCAUCUUGCAACACCACAUCCGUGCAUCUGGAUACGCUCCAUGUGUUCCGGUGAUGCGUUUUUGUCAGUCUUGG
rnacentral:rRNA from 1 species